rnacentral:rRNA from 1 species
AUUGAACGCUGGCGGCAGGCCUAACACAUGCAAGUCGAGCGAGCGGCGGACGGGUGAGUAAUGUAUGGGGACUGCCCGAUAGAGGGGGAUAACUACUGGAAACGGUGUCUAAUACCGCAUACUCUCGGAUAACCCAUAUGGGAUUGGCUAGUAGGUGGGGUAAAGGCUCACCAAGGCGACGAUCGCUAGCUGGUCUUAGCGGAUGCGCAGCCACACUGGGACUGAGAAACGGCCACGACUCCUACGGAGGCAGCAGUGGGGAAUAGUGCACAAGGGGCGCAAGCCUGAUGAAGCCAUGCCGCGUGUAUGAAGAAGGCCUUAGGGUUGUAAAGUACUUGCAGCGGGGAGGCGUUACCCGCAGAAGAAGCACCGGCUAACUCCGUGCAAGCAGCCGCGGUAAUUC